ACAAACGGUUUUCUGCGUUCUUAUGCCUUGUAGAAUACGUCAAAUAUUGUUGGAUUUCCCAGUUUUUGUAAUAGAAAAUUGUUUCAGGGUUAUAUCUAAAACAUUUCUAACAGACCAUUAUCGAGAAUUAUGAAUAAAAUAGCCUAUUUUGGAAUCAGCGCAACGAGCAGCGCGCUGGCAAUCGUAGUUGCCAAAGCAUACAGAUACACUCGUACACGCGAAUUCAUGUUCCCGCGCGCACACCAUAUUCCUAGUGCCAUCGUUCUUCCUUUUGUUCUUCCAAUCACUUGGAUUUCAUGAUGGUGCUCUUGCCAUACAACUCCUGACAGUAAUAAGUCGAGGAAACAAACUUGGAUUUCCUGGAGCUAUGACGAAUUACUGACUUAAUUUGAUUUAAUCUGCACGCAGUGCCAUAAGUUGCAGAUACUUUCGAAAACCUGGAUAUCCAUGCCUUUCAGCAUACACACAGUGUGAACUGAGAAGAAAACGUCCAAUUCUGUUUCUGCGCAUUGCUGAUGUUUCCUGUGGCCGAAAUAGCAUACUGGCUUUCAGACGGGAAUGUCUCUGCAUUAAAUUAUUCAGGGAAUAUCAGCUGCAUGACUCUUGGAUUUCCGUAGCUUGUGAAGAUGGUUAAAAGCGGUAUAACUUCAGCAGAUUCUAAGCGUGAGCGCGCAACCAAAACAGGAACGGCAUCUUCGUUACGACUUUUUCAAAGAUUUGGAGGAGAAUUUACUGAUAGACGACGCGUUGGUUCGACCGGGUUUGGGGAGACCAGUUCCUUUUUCAAAUAUAGUAGCAACUGCAAGAUACGAUACACCAAAGAAAACUCUUAAGUACCUUGGAUGGCUUCACUUGGAUAUCCGUGUCAGUUUUAUAAACAAGUGAUAAUUUUCAUUAUUGUUUUAGCGUUUGAUUUGUGACGGCAAAGAAUCUGAAUUUUGGAAAUCCAAAACGUUGAUUUUGAUGUUAAAGUUUUUCACAAAUUAAUAAUAUUUUCCGGUGAAUGAGUGUCAUUUCUUUAAGGAGAAUAAAACCGUAAACUGCAAA